rnacentral:rRNA from 1 species
GAGUUUGAUCGUGGCUCAGAUUGAACGCUGGCGGCAUGCCUUACACAUGCAAGUCGAACGGCAGCACGGGAGCUUGCUCCUGGUGGCGAGUGGCGAACGGGUGAGUAAUGCAUCGGAACGUAUCCUGGAGUGGGGGAUAACGUAGCGAAAGUUACGCUAAUACCGCAUAUUCUGUGAGCAGGAAAGCGGGGGGACCUUCGGGCCUCGCGCUCUUGGAGCGGCCGAUGUCGGAUUAGCUAGUUGGUGAGGUAAGGCUCACCAAGGCGACGAUCCGUAGCAGGUCUGAGAGGAUGAUCUGCCACACUGGAACUGAGACACGGUCCAGACUCCUACGGGAGGCAGCAGUGGGGAAUUUUGGACAAUGGGGGCAACCCUGAUCCAGCCAUGCCGCGUGAGUGAAGAAGGCCUCGG